UACGGAGGGGGCUAGCGUUGUUCGGAAUUACUGGGCGUAAAGGGUUCGUAGGUGGCCUGCUAAGUCAGACGUGAAAUCCCUCGGCUCAACCGGGGAACUGCGUCUGAGACUGGCGGGCUCGAGGACAGGAGAGGAAAGCGGAAUUCCAGGUGUAGCGGUGAAAUGCGUAGAUAUCUGGAGGAACACCGGUGGCGAAGGCGGCGUUCUGGACUGUGUCUGACACUGAGGAACGAAAGCCAGGGGAGCAAACGGG
rnacentral:rRNA from 1 species